UGAACAUUGAGCCUUGAUGUGUAGGAUAGGUGGGAGGCUUUGAAGUGUGGACGCCAGUCUGCAUGGAGCCGACCUUGAAAUACCACCCUUUAAUGUUUGAUGUUCUAACGUGGACCCGUUACCCGGGUUGCGGACAGUGUCUGGUGGGUAGUUUGACUGGGGCGGUCUCCUCCUAAAGAGUAACGGAGGAGCACGAAGGUUGGCUAAUCCUGGUCGGACAUCAGGAGGUUAGUGCAAUGGCAUAAGCCAGCUUGACUGCGAGCGUGACGGCGCGAGCAGGUGCGAAAGCAGGUCAUAGUGAUCCGGUGGUUCUGAAUGGAAGGGCCAUCGCUCAACGGAUAAAAGGUACUCCGGGGAUAACAGGCUGAUACCGCCCAAGAGUUCAUAUCGACGGCGGUGUUUGGCACCUCGAUGUCGGCUCAUCACAUCCUGGGGCUGAAGUAGGUCCCAAGGGUAUGGCUGUUCGCCAUUUAAAGUGGUACGCGAGCUGGGUUUAGAACGUCGUGAGACAGUUCGGUCCCUAUCUGCCGUGGGCGCUGGAGAACUGAGGGGGGCUGCUCCUAGUACGAGAGGACCGGAGUGGACGCAUCACUGGUGUUCGGGUUGUCAUGCCAAUGGCACUGCCCGGUAGCUAAAUGCGGAAGAGAUAAGUGCUGAAAGCAUCUAAGCACGAAACUUGCCCCGA
rnacentral:rRNA from 2 species